GGAUGGAUCAUUACCAAUUUUUAAAUUUUAGUUUGUAAUGUCUCUUUACUGAGGCUUUACACAACUACUAUUGUAAACGUUGAACUAGAUUGUUCGGUGUGGAUUGCUUGGGAAUGGAUCGAGUUUAUUCUCUUUCCGGACAGGCAAACCCCACACUGAUUACCCUUAUAAUUUAUUUAUAUACUAUAACUAGUACAUACUACCAAAAACAAACAAACAAAACCAUUAGGACUUAUAAACGGUUGAGUGGGUAAAAUCCUCAACUAUAAAAUAUAACUAAUACAACUUUCAGCAAUGGAUCUCUAGGCUCUCGCAUCGAUGAAGAACGCAGCGAAUUGCGAAACGUAAUGUGACUUGCAACCCUCGUGAAUCAUCGAAUCUUUGAACGCAUCUUGCACUAUUCGGCUUCCCCGGAUAGUAUGCCUGGUUGAGUGUCUGUGUAUCUCUCCUAUAUCAAUCUUUUUUGGUUGAAUGUAGGGACUUGGGGUUAUUCUCGUCGGUAUACUCUAACCAGUAUCUCGGUGAACCCUUUAAAUGUAGCAAGCUCCCAUCUUUCAUCGGAAAUACGCAAACUUGGGGAUGGCGUCGUAGCAAUCACUCUUAUCAGUAUUGUCGAAGCGCCUAUAUCAUACCUCUAAUCUGCGGUGCUAAUCCUUUAUCAAUGGGCGAAGCUUGACGACUGGCAAAGUGCCAUGCUCCCUUAUUUGGAGUACACGAACAAUAAUGACCUCAACUCAGGUAGGACGACCCGCUGGACUUAAGCAUAUUAAUAAGCGGAGGAAAAGAAACUAACCAGGAUUCCCUUAGUAACUGCGAGUGAAGCGGGAAAAGCUCAAAUUUGGAAUCUGGGUAGGCAACGCCAGCUCCUACCCCGAAUUGUAAUUUAUAGAGGCAUGAUCCGUCAGGCGGCAAGCGUUGGUCCAAGUCAGGUGGAAUCCUGUGCCAUAGAGGGUGAUAGCCCCGUAGGACCUUGUGCUGACCGUCCACUGUGACAUGUCUUCAACGAGUCGGAAUGUUUGGGAUUGCAUUCCUAAAUGGGUGGUAAGCUCCAUCUAAAGCUAAAUACUGGCGAGAGACCGAUAGCGAACAAGUACCGUGAGGGAAAGAUGAAAAGCACUCUGAAGAGAGAGUGAAAUAGUACGUGAAAUUGCUGAAAGGGAAACGCUUACGACCCGACAGUGCAGCGUGGGGGUGGCUGUUCACCAGGUUCUUUGGGACCUGGGGAUUCUCUAUGCCCUCACAGCUCAGGCCAACAUCAGUUUCUAAUUUUAAGGGUAUCAGAAAGGCGCUUGGGAAUGUAGGUCGAUCUUCGGAUUUACUGUUAUAGCCCUUGUGUUGGAUAGAUGGCUCUGGGGACUGAGGACUGCGGUGCGCUUUCGUAUUGGGCGGCUAUUUCUUGGGCAAACGGGCGGUAAGUGUCAGUCUGACUGGGCUUGCCGACCCUGCUGUCCAGGGGUGGUGUCCUCUGCCGCGCACCAAGGAUGUUGGUGGUAACGGUCCUAAUCGACCCGUCUUGAAACACGGACCAAGGAGUCAACCAUGCAUGCGAGUGUCUGGGUGAGUAAAACCCAAGCGCGUAAUGAAAGUGAUCUAGUGGGGUUAACCGUUGUCUUCGGACCGCGGCGCCGCCUCAGCCGGCUUUGUGGGGUCCGCCUCCUUUGUCGAGCAAGAGCAUGUAUGUUUGGACCCGAAAGAUGGUGAACUAUGCCUGAAUAGGGUGAAGCCAGAGGAAACUCUGGUGGAGGCUCGUAGCGGUUCUGACGUGCAAAUCGAUCGUCAAAUUUGGGCAUAGGGGCGAAAGACUAAUCGAACCAUCUAGUAGCUGGUUCCUGC
rnacentral:misc_RNA from 1 species